rnacentral:rRNA from 1 species
CAAAGGAAUUGACGGGACCGCACAAGCGGUGGAGUAUGUGGCUUAAUUCGAUGCAACGCGAAGAACCUUACCAAGGCUUGACAUGGAUUUCUAAGCACGUGAAAGCGUGUGACCCUUCGGGGGACUUCCACAGGUGCUGCAUGGCCGUCGUCAGCUCGUGUCGUGAGAUGUUGGGUUAAGUCCCGCAACGAGCGCAACCCUUGUGACUAGUUGCCAGCACGUAAUGGUGGGAACUCUAGUCAGACUGCCCAGAUCAACUGGGAGGAAGGUGGGGACGACGUCAGGUCAGUAUGGCCCUUACGCCUUGGGCUGCACACGUACUACAAUGCCCAGUACAAUGAGAACCGAUACCGCGAGGUGGAGGAAAUCUGUAAAACUGGGCCCAGUUCGGAUUGGAGGCUGCAACUCGCCUCCAUGAAGUUGGAAUCGCUAGUAAUGGCGCAUCAUCUACGGCGCCGUGAAUACGUUCCCGGGUCUU